GGCGGCCAGCCCCAGGCUGGGCCCUGGCAGGAGUCUUUGAUCUGGGUGCAUUCCAUACUGAGAGCCAUGGCUCAUGAGGGACAGGUCGUGGCGGCGGUAGGCAUCGAGGCAGCCCAGCUCCCGCCUCUGCUCGUCCAGGCAGGAGGACUUGAGAGCCCGCGCAUUGUGCAGUUAUGUAUUGAUGCUGCACAUGGCUAUCCAGCUGGAGCCCUCAUUUCCAGCCUCACUGGCAACUAGCUGUGGCCACAUGAUUUUUUUGCAAGUGAAUGUGAGUGGAAUUGAUGUGGGAAAUUCUAUGUCUUCAUUUAAAGACAUUUGUGUACUCUCAGAUAACUUCCUUUCCCAUUCAUAUAAGUGAUAAGUAACCAGUUUUGACAAAGAAGAGGAUAAGAACAAUCAUAGCAUAUUCAAUAUGCAAGGUUAAUGACAUCACAUUGCUCUUUUAUACCCUGCUGAACUACACAUAUUUACCAGGAUCUGUGGUCAAGGUGAGGACAUCAAAGAAAUUGUGACAACAUUGUCAUCCAUUGAACAAUGUUUCUUUAAUGGACACGAAAAUGUGGUUCAUUUACACAAUGGAAUACUACUCAACUAUUAAGAAUGAGGACAUCCUGAGUUUUGCAGCAAAUGGAUGGAAAUAGAAAAAUUGCCCUGAGUGAGGUAACUCAGACCCAAAAAGACAUUCAUGAUGCACAAAUGCUGGGAUUUUGUGGGUGUGUGCCACGACAUCUCGCUUUUAGAGCAGAGAGAAAGCAGAGCAAAACACAACAUGGAAGUGACCAAAACCUUACCAAACUGUACUCUUGGGUAUACUAUACACAGCAUGUCACAGUCUUCUGUUUCAUGGCCAGCCUGGGUGGAUAAAGGCAAAUAUCAUUGAUCAAUGUCUAAACAAUGGAAAUAAACAAAAGUU
ensembl:antisense Gm15825 uncharacterized LOC110300669